GAUGAAUGCUGGCGGCGUGCCUAACACAUGCAAGUCGAGCGGCAGCGAGGGGUGCUUGCACCCUGUCGGCGAGCGGCGAACGGCUGAGUAACGCGUAGGAAUUUGCCCCAAAGUGAGGAAUAACUGCCCGAAAGGGUGGCUAAUGCCGCAUAUGGUCUUCGGAUUAAAGGAUUUAUCCGCUUUGGGAGAAGCCUGCGUUGGAUUAGGUUGUUGGUAGGGUAAUGGCCUACCAAGCCGACGAUCCAUAGCUGGUCUGAGAGGAUGAUCAGCCAGACUGGAACUGAGACACGGUCCAGACUCCUACGGGAGGCAGCAGUGAGGAAUCUUCCACAAUGGGCGAAAGCCUGAUGGAGCAACGCCGCGUGAAGGAUGAAGGCCUUCGGGUUGUAAACUUCUUUUAUGAGUGAAGAAUAUGACGGUAACUCAUGAAUAAGCACCGGCUAACUACGUG
rnacentral:rRNA from 1 species